rnacentral:lncRNA from 1 species
UCCCGUCAGCUCUUUUAAGGGCCUCCAAUGCAGAAUGCAGCUCCACCUGGAGGGACUGGGUAUGAACUCGAGCUGCUGCGAGGUUGCCCCUGGCAUCACUAGUUGCGGAUAAAUUCUCCUCCAGACGCGCCUCCUCAAUCCGGCGGUCCACAGAUUCCCGGAGAGAGUGGUCGCGAGCAUCCACCUCCAUAAAGAGGCCCGUCACCUAAUACAAAGGAAAAACUGUUAAAACAAAGAAAACCAGAAGGAAAACAAAGGAGGUAGCUUAGCUUACCAUCAGAAGCAUCUCCCUGAUUGUGUCUCCAAGCUCCCCACGAGGUCGAGAACGGAACGCUGCUUGCUCCCUAGUAGAGCUAGCUAAGAGAC